GGUCUCACUGUGUAGUUGAGACUGACCUGGAACUCACUCUGUAGUCCAGGCUGGUCUCAAACAAACCACGAUCCUCCUGCCUCAGCCUCCCCAGUGCUGGGAUUACAGGCACGCGCCACCAUGCCC
rnacentral:miRNA from 1 species